rnacentral:rRNA from 1 species
UACGGGGGGGGGCAAGCGUUGUUCGGAAUUACUGGGCGUAAAGGGUUUGUAGGUGGCCAACUAAGUCAGACGUGAAAUCCCUCAGCUUAACUGGGGAACUGCGUCUGAGACUGGAUGGCUUGAGUGCAGGAGAGGAACGCGGAAUUCCAGGUGUAGCGGUGAAAUGCGUAGAUAUCCGGAGGAACACCGGUGGCGAAGGCGGCUUCCUGGACCGACACUGACGCUGAGGCGCGAAAGCUAGGGGAGCAAACGGG